GGUUUGUGUGAACUGGGAUGUUGGGGGUGUUUGUGGUUAUCUUACCUGGGGAAGUUCUUAUGUUUAUCUUGCUUUUCAUGUGUCUUUCUGUAGACAUAUCUGAAGAGAUGGAUUAAGAAUGCUUUGGAUUAAGGAUUGUGGAGCACAUUUCAAUCAUUUUAGGAUUGUCAAAAGGAGGAUUGAGGAGGAUCAGAUCAAUAAUGGAGGCAAUGGAGCAAAGCGAGGACCUGGAGAUAAACGCUGGAGCAAUCUCCUUGGAAGGAUUCAGCACGAGUAGAUGGUAAACAUUUAAAGGGGAAAGGGGGGGUUUGUUUAAAAUAGUAAAUCAGUAAGUCACUUCUAAAUUUAAAGAAAACAAAAUUGGAGUUGAAGAAUAAGUAGGUUUCCAAUUGGCUAUUGCCGUUUUCUUUGAAAAAAUAAACAUUUUUUAAAAAACUA
rnacentral:ncRNA from 3 species